AUGAGCACGUCGACGGGGCCACGGCGGCCACGCCCAGAGCGCCCAGCGGCUGCUCCCCAGGAGCGCGGGCGUAGGGUGGUGCGCGGCCUCACGCCCACGCCGUCGCCGUCUCCAUCGCCACCACCACCUCCUCGCAUGACGGUGGAGGAGGAAGCCCGUCUCGUGCAGCGUGUCAUGGAGGACUCCAUGCGCACGCACGACGAGCGGCAAUGGGACGGCUUGGAGGAGGCCAUGGCACUGUCUGCCGCCGGCGACGUGGCCUUCCCGGAGCUGCAGAUGGCGGCCUUGACGGAGGAGAGGAGGGAGGACGCCAUGGAGGAGGAGCCGGCGGCCGCCUUCCAGCAGCUGGUGGGCACGGGGUGGGCCUGGUCCUGCACUGCUCCGGAGAUGGCCGACUGCCUGGGCGUGGACUGGCGCGCCACUCCGCCGCAGUCACCGGAGUGGGAGGGGUCGCCACGGGAGGAGGUGUUGCAGGCACCUCCCGCCGUCCAGCCCGCCCCCGUCUACCAGGCACCGCACGCACCGCCGGCCCACCUGUGGACGCCGCCGGCCUACGUCGACCUCGUCAGGGACGACGACGACACCGGCGGCCAGUGA
rnacentral:rRNA from 1 species